GCCGUGGCCUACUGGUUAGCGCUUUGGACUUGCAACCGGAGGGUUGCUGGUUCGAACCCUGACCUAGGCA
rnacentral:tRNA from 1 species